rnacentral:rRNA from 1 species
ACGCUGGCGGCAGGCCUAACACAUGCAAGUCGAGCGGUAGAGAGAAGCUUGCUUCUCUUGAGAGCGGCGGACGGGUGAGUAAUGCCUAAGAAUCUGCCUGGUAGUGGGGGAUAACGUUCGGAAACGGACGCUAAUACCGCAUACGUCCUACGGGAGAAAGCAGGGGACCUUCGGGCCUUGCGCUAUCAGAUGAGCCUAGGUCGGAUUAGCUAGUUGGUGAGGUAAUGGCUCACCAAGGCGACGAUCCGUAACUGGUCUGAGAGGACGAUCAGUCACACUGGAACUGAGACACGGUCCAGACUCCUACGGGAGGCAGCAGUGGGGAAUAUUGGACAAUGGGCGAAAGCCUGAUCCAGCCAUGCCGCGUGUGUGAAGAAGGUCUUCGGAUUGUAAAGCACUUUAAGUUGGAAGGAAGGGCAUUAACCUAAUACGUUAGUGUUUUGACGUUACCGACAGAAUAAGCACCGGCUAACUCUGUGCCAGCAGCCGCGGUGAUACAGAGGGUGCAAGCGUUAAUCGGAAUUACUGGGCGUAAAGCGCGCGUAGGUGGUUUGUUAAGUUGGAUGUGAAAUCCCCGGGCUCAACCUGGGAACUGCAUUCAAAACUGACUGACUAGAGUAUGGUAGAGGGUGGUGGAAUUUCCUGUGUAGCGGUGAAAUGCGUAGAUAUAGGAAGGAACACCAGUGGCGAAGGCGACCACCUGACUAAUACUGACACUGAGGUGCGAAAGCGUGGGGAGCAAAC